AGCUCUGUAGCUCAGUGGUUAGAGCACUCGCUUUGAAAGCGAAACACCUGGGUUCAAUUCCCGGCAGGGUGA
rnacentral:tRNA from 1 species